AGUGAACGCUGGCGGUAGGCCUAACACAUGCAAGUCGAACGGCAGCACAGUAAGAGCUUGCUCUUACGGGUGGCGAGUGGCGGACGGGUGAGGAAUACAUCGGAAUCUACUUUUUCGUGGGGGAUAACGUAGGGAAACUUACGCUAAUACCGCAUACGACCUACGGGUGAAAGCAGGGGAUCUUCGGACCUUGCGCGAUUGAAUGAGCCGAUGUCGGAUUAGCUAGUUGGCGGGGUAAAGGCCCACCAAGGCGACGAUCCGUAGCUGGUCUGAGAGGAUGAUCGGCCACACUGGAACUGAGACACGGUCCAGACUCCUACGGGAGGCAGCAGUGGGGAAUAUUGGACAAUGGGCGCAAGCCUGAUCCGGCCAUACCGCGUGGGUGAAGAAGGCCUUCGGGUUGUAAAGCCCUUUUGUUGGGAAAGAAAAGCAGCAGGUUAAUACCCCGCCGUUCUGACGGUACCCAAAGAAUAAGCACCGGCUAACUUCGUG
rnacentral:rRNA from 1 species